CGGUGGAUGCCUUGACACGAGCAGGCGAUGAAGGACGUAGUAAUCUGCGAUAAGCCACGGGUAGCCGAAAACAGCGUUAAUCCGUGGAUUUCCGAAUGGGGCAACCCGGCUGGAGUCAUGUCCAGUCACCCGAAAGGGAGCUAACCCGGGGAACUGAAACAUCUAAGUACCCGGAGGAAGAGAAAACAAUAGUGAUUCCCUGAGUAGCGGCGAGCGAAACGGGAAGAGCCCAAACCAGUGCGCGUAUGUUCACUGGGGUUGUAGGGCCCAUGUAGCGACUGCGCGAGAUAGCAGAACAUUCUGGAAAGUUUGACCAUAGAAGGUGACAGUCCUGUAAGCGAAAUCUCAAACAGCGUGUGGGGAACCCUGAGUACCACGGAGUAAGGGAAAUUCUGUGGGAAUCUGCCGGAACCAUCCGGUAAGGCUAAAUACUCGCUCGUGAUCGAUAGCGAACUAGUACCGUGAGG
rnacentral:rRNA from 1 species